GAAGAAACUGCUCGACAAAUAUUUUUUAUAACAGACAGACAUAAGAGUCUAAUUCUUUCACUGCCUUUACAAAAAAGCUUACCACUGCUAUUAAUGACAACAACAAGUCCGGAGCUUUCUUGCCGGCUGCUGAUGACCAUGUCUUCACUGCGCAUGUUGGUAACAUUGAAGAGUGUGGAGACACACUUAAGUCGCAUCUCGCUUCUUUGGAAAUGCCUUGGUUGGACAGUGAAUCUCAAGCCAAGGAGCGUCGACUCUUGACCAUCAGGAUAUCGGAUGGGAAGAUAGUGUCUCAAAUAAUCUCGGUUAGCCUGUGAAGUGAAUGGAAAAUAUCAGAAGCUUCUGCCAAGAAUUGCUGUACAUGCCAAGAAUAUCCGAAUAUUUUUAAGAGCAAAAAAUCGUUCAUGAACUUGUUUUGAAUGUCUACCUUUGAUUAAUUCUUGGUGAAUAUAUAUUAAUAAAACCUUUCAUAAUAA